GACAGUAGCAGAGUGAGCCAGAGGCAGGGAGGAGGCAGCGAAGGAGCAGCUCUCCUCCUGAGCCUCCAUCCCAGAGAAGACAGAGAGGGAGAAGACAGAGAGAAGUCGACAGUCCCGCCUCACCGGUGCGUCUCCUGCAGCUCCUGAAGUUAAAACCGAGACAUCCGUUGUGAGGUGAAGAGAACACGAUGUACUAAGAGUGUUUGUUGUGACUGAACCUGAAAAGACUGAUCGCCCUGAACACACAGGGUCCUUCAGGAUUUCAUGCAGAGACCUGCGAAUGAGCACUGACGUCUACCUUCAUCUGAGUGUAGAUGAAAGACGCAGGGAAUCGCAUAUGGUUCCACACACGUACACCAACACAGACGCUCGUCAUAUUUCCCUUUGUUUUACUAAUGAAAAUCUUUUCCAUCGCUGUCAUCUGUUGCAAGACUGCAAUGAAAGAUGAAAGAAGAUAAAAGAAUAUUAACCAAAUAAACCUGUAAUAUACCUAUGAAACUAUUAACAACUUCAUGUUACGUGAGUGAUGCAUUUUAGUGUUUUUGCUGGUUGGCAUGAGAAAGUUUUUAAAGUGGAGUAAUUUGAUGAAACACCAUAUUUUAAAUGAUAAGGGAAUGACGUGAAAUGUAAUGAAGUAAAAAUAUAAAUUAGAACAAAAGAAAGACAGUCAGUUCACCUUCAAAUACAUUAAAUAAAUAAUAGAUUUUAGCUUGAAAUACCUGGAUAACACUCUUUUAGUCAAAGACUGUAUAAAAGAUUAAAAAGACAAAAAAAAAACUCAUAGGCAAAUGAGCCUACUUGUCACUAGCUCUAUGACCUCAGAAAAUGUUUUCCUGGUGGCCUAUCUAACCCUAACUUCAAGACUUAUUUAAUUCAGCAUGACGUUCACUUUGUAAAUUCUGGUUCAAAGUAAAACAGACAUCAAGUAAAGCAAGGUAAGUUUUUAAGUUCAACUUUUGGUUUCAAAGAGCCAAGAUAGUAAGAAUGUAUAUUUUAUUGAUCCCCCUUGGGCGAAAUUCAUCUCUGCAUUUAACCCAUUCACUCAGUGAAGCAGUGAGCAGCCACCAAUCUAGCGCCCGGGGAGCAGUGUGUAGGGAUGGUACCUUGCUCAGGGGCACCUCAGGGUAGCCGUUCAGUGGAUUCGAACCCCUGACCUUCCGAUCAUGGGGCCACCGCUCAACCUACUGAAAUAUCCCGGCCCUGACGAACAAAAUGCUCGCCUCAAGAUUUCCAAAUGGGAUAUCAUAAAUAAACGGGCAGUGUCACAGUAGUCACAUCCAUCUUUUAUAUACAGUCUAUAGAAUCUUCACUUUGAUUCCUUUGGUUGCAAAACAUCUAACCAGCAUAUAGAAGCCUGCAUAUGAAUCCUUGCAGUGAAUUGAAUUUUUUACUUAAUUUGAACAGCACCAUUACUGGCCAUUAAAAAAAUGUCAAAUCACAUACAUUGUAGUCUCGAUUAUCGAAUGCAGUCUUUGUGGUUUCCAUAGAAAGCCAAAGUCUUUCUACGGAUUAUUAAGAAAAAAUGUAAUCAGUUUUCUCGCUCCUCGCGGAUCAUCCACGAGGUCCUUCCUCAGUCAGCCCUCCUCCACCACCCUACCCUCAGUGCACCUACGUUGCAUUAUUAAACUUGAAUAAGAUCAUUAGCAUACAAAGCAGGAAACCUACCGCCGUGGAGUCAUACAUAUUUAUCUGCCUGACUUGUGCAUGCAUACACUCGUACUGUAACCCCUUUUGCAACCAAGGGUGAGUGGUUCUCUACUGCAAGAGGGCUGCGAACAGAAACUGUGAAGUGGAUAUUAAUAGGAGCAUGUCUAGUUUUAAAAAGCAGAUAUCUAUUUGUGAAACAUCUAAAGAAACACGGGCUUUCAUUUGAAAUACACAUUAAACCAUGUGCGGCUGCCUGGAGAAAAAUGUGUGUAUUUGGAAGCAGAGCAGAUGGAGUUUGGUUAGGUUCAUCAGAGCAGCUUCCAGCAUAUCAAAUAUAGUUUACACACAGAGGAAUUUCUGAAUCUAGUAAUGCCUGCAGUACAUAGUCAUCUGCUGCACACAGAAGCACAUAAUCAAACAGAAAGAAAGACAAACAGAGAGCAUGGCCUUCUGAAUACCUAUCAACUGUGGAUUACCUCUGCCUUCUAAAUGACUCCUUGUUGCUUUCCUUGUAUCAUCCCUUUGCAAAAUUAACUUUCUCCUCGCCCACCCUCCCUGUGUUUUACCCACUUGUGAAUCACUUUUCCUCCUUUUCCUCAUCCUUCCAGCUGAGAGAACAACCUAUCUCCUUUUUUGGCUACGUGAAGUUCCUUUUUAAUACGCUUCCCUCCUUCCUUCCUUCUCUCUCCUUCCUCCUGUGAGAUUGCUGUUGUGUCUUAUGGCUUUUUAUUCCUACGUGAUGGUAGAUGGGUUCAUGUAGGAGUAGAAGCCACUAAACACGCGGCGAGUGCUCAACACGCUGGCCAACACAUGCAGCGAGCUUCCUGUGGAUAUGACAGCUGCCAUGUUCACAUCAAUGUCCUGCCUAUUAUCAAGAAUGUACACACACAUUAUAAAUAGAACAAGGGUGAUCCCUGCCGAGAGUGUUUACCACUCUGGAUAAAAGUUUUAGUGGGGGAAAAAUCGAAAAUUAAACAGCUAAUUGCAAACAAUUAAGCAGAAUGCUCGGCAAGUAAGGGCUGACGAGUCAAUCUUUGGUUGUGAACAGACCUACUUUUCCCACCUGCACGCUGGCAUGUGCCCUGAAUUUCAAACUCAUUCCUGCAUUCCUCUGCCCCGGGGUCAUUGUGCCGAGUUCUCGAAAUAGAGAUGAGGAUGGAAAAAUAAGUGAAACAAUGUGCAGAGGUAGGUCAUCAAUAUUCUUUGGUAACGUACGCGACGUAGUCUGUUUUCUCCUUUGAAUGCAAAUAAAUGCUGUACGUGAAAACCUGUUACAGGCUGCUGUAUUUAAAUAUGUUUUACAUCAGGUCUAACAUGAUUUGCAUUUUACCUAAUGGUAUAAAGUGCCAUGAGAGGAAGGUGUGAGUUAGCGCUAUAUACACGUAAAUUAAUUUAACUACUAAUUGAAAAAGGCUUCAGUUUAAAAUAGUUUAUUGUCAUCCAAGUAAGAUGUGAGGCUGUGAAGUUGUACUUUGGCAAAGAACUUUUAAAGUUGUUAUAGUGAUUUUUAUUGAUGUAAGUGAAAUAACUUUUAAAUCCACAAAAAAUACCCAAAACCAAACCUAACAAAGCAAAGGAAACAAGAAAAAACAUUAUUUUUUAAGUUAAAUGAUAUUAUUACUGUGCUAAUAAAAACUGCAUAAGUCUGUGUGGGCUGUAACCCCCUCAUCAGUCAUGAAGGUGCCUAAUAUAUAAUUAAAAUGGAUAGGAAUAUUACAUUUAUUAUAUUUACUAUAAUCCCAACUUUUAAAGUUUUAUAUUAUUUAAUCCUCUAGGUUAAACUUGAGUUAAAUGAAAAUACUUUUGAUUAAUUCUACAUAAUCCUUCCACAAUCAAACACAUUUUUCUACAUUUGUUUUCUUCUUAGAUUAAUAAAGAACUUUUGACUAUAGAUUCGUAGGUUACUUUAAAACUCAAGUAAAACACCUUUUUAAAAUAAUGUAAUCUAAUGAAGCAAGGCCAUAAGGUUUGAAAAUAACUUAUUAUUUUUCCUCUUUGGACCGAUGUUUUAAAUCCUUUUAUAUGUCCUUAGAAGGAUUUUCCGCUUGUGUAACAGUUAGUUGUGACUAAGGGUUUGGGUUAUCUGCAGAAGGUUGUGACAGACUUAGACUUUAGAAAGGUAAACAUUUAUAGCAGUUGUCUCUUUUAAAAUUAUUGGCAAUUAUGGGUAAAACAAUUGCUCUUUUUUGUAUGUUUCUUUUAUUUUUAAUAAAUCCAUUUCCCUUUGAUCAAAAAAAACAUUUUCUUAGUUGGUUCAUCUUUAUUUUAGCUCGUCCUGACAUUUGGUAAUUAACAGGUAAAUGGUACUGAGAUGAGAAUGUCAUUCGUUUUGAAGCUCAUGAGCCAAAGUAUUUUAAAAAAAGUUUGAUCUUGACUAAGUAAUAGAGCUAAAUGAGAAAUCAGAGGAUCACCAAAGUAAUUACAGCUUAGCUCGAGGGGGUCUCAAACGUCUACACCAAAAUUCCCCGUCAUCCAUCAUGUAGAAGUUAAAGCAUAUUUCUUAAAACCAUAAAAGUUAAGUAACUUACGGCACCGGAGGAGAAGUAAUAAGACUCCCAAUGUUAGGAUUCUCAAUCUGAGAACCAUAAACCAUGAAUGAAACUCAAGCCUGGACUCAAUGACAUCACCAUCUGUAGUUUGACAUAGGUAGCAUGGUUGAAAACUUGAUAAGGAGUUUUUACCACGAACAAACACAUUCUGAUACAUUGUAUCAGAGCCCACCUCUCUUUGUGAGGGUGUAUUUUUUUAAAACGAACCCCUUUAAACUCUUAAGCACCAGCAUGAAAACAGUGACUCAGCUCAGUGUGAACCCCUUGUCUGCUCACAAAUUAGGUCCAAAUUUUCACCAGCUCAAAAUGGCUAAUAAUGGCAUUUAUCAGCGGUAACUUUCUGCCUGAGCUGAACUCAGUGUCAACCAAUUAAGCAAGAAAUUCAAAUUAUCCUGCUGCUGGGUCCAGCAGGGUGCUGUGGGGGCUUGGGUUUAAAUGUCAACCUUCUGUUUGUAUUUGCUGUGCAAUGAGCUGUUCUCGUUCAGUCUCCCCCUGGACAGAAUCCGAAUAAAACCCAAAUGGGUUGUUGCUGAGAACCCAAAAAAAUAAUGAAUUAUUAAUCCCACGAUAUUACAAGAUUUUGGCAGACGCUUGCAACUGUGUGACAUUACUCCAGCACCAAUAAAGGGGCAGAUAAUUAUUCAAGAUGAAAUUGUAAUAGAGGAGGUCUGCAGAGGUUUAAUGAUUUAUUUAAGACUGUACGUUGUUGUGAUCUAAUAUUCAGUGGGUGGGUUGGGAAGUUUCUUUUGCUUGCAUUAUCAGUUUAAUUUAUUUUUCAGGUUCCCACUCCUACAUUGGCUUUUUCUCUUACUUUACAGAGACAUGAGGAGGCUUGAGAGAAUAGUAGAGCAGGGGAGACUGAGGGGAGACUGAGAGAGGAUUUGAUCCUAGACCAGCGGGGGGCCAUGGGAAUGUAAAGGUGGGAAUCAACCAUCCUGGCAUCUAUGGGAAAGAGUCUGCAUUAUUUAAAACACCACUGGCACAUGCAGGGGAAGUUGUGUUUGAAUAGAUUGCUGCCAUUCUUUGUUUCGCCUAAGGGUGUGUAUGUCUUUUCCUGCAAUGCUCAGUUAUGACUGCACUGCCGUGCAGACCCCAGCUUUCCAAAAAUGUCAAAAUGAUCAGAGAAAUGAGACGGCACAGCCUCAUUUUCAUUGUGACAGCCGUGCAUUUUACUUUAAAUUAUGCAAACGCUUUCAUAUGUCCUAUACAAGGUCACAUAAUCCCCAGGUUCAGGUAAAAACAUGAAAAUCAUCCACAACAGCAUAAUGGGGUUUUCAUCUGACAGCUGCAAUAAUAUAGUGCGUUUGUGUACAGUAGGUGUUAUGUACGAGUGUUGUUCUACUUUAUCAACACCCCCCUCAGGCUACACUUUGAUUUUCCUGUAAUAAAUAAUGCUCUUUUGUGUUCUGUGCUUCAUUUGUUCCCUGUUGUAACCUCAGUGCUGCUCAAUAAAUUAUGAAUCACGCCAGUUCAA